AAAAAAUCAGCAACUGCAAUAUGAAUUUUUCUUGCUCUCUCUGCACUAAAACUAAAAAACUGAAAUGAUUAUCAAAACUGCCAUUCAUUUUCAUAGCGAAAAUACCACAUACCCAAUUGCUUAAAGUCUUUGUUUUUCUGUGGAUAACCAGGGAAAUAGCUACAAUUUGAUUUAAGGUGUAUAUUCUUGUCCUUGAGUUGAAGUGGUGGUCUUGGAUUCACUUUGACUAUUUCAAAUUUGAAAGGAUUAUCAGCUUGAUACAGGCCAGUGAAUUCGUCAAUCAUUAAGCUGACGGGCACUUCUGAAACGGUUCUUCAAGUUUUUUGCGGGGCUGUACCACGCCUUUGUAGUACUGAUUUGUAAAAUUGUAAUCAAAGGAAGAAUAUUUGAUUA